rnacentral:ncRNA from 1 species
CAAAAGCUUGGUCCUGACUUUAAUAUCAUCUCAUGCUCAAUUUACACAUGCAAGUACCCGCACCCCCGUGAGAAUGCCCUCAUAUCCUCAAAUGAGGAGAAGGAGCUGGCAUCAGGCACACUAAAAGUAGCCCAAAACGCCUUGCUAAGCCACACCCCCAAGGGAACUCAGCAGUGAUAAAAAUUAAGCCAUGAGCGUAAGCUUGACUUAGUUAGAGCAUCAAAGAGCCGGUAAAACUCGUGCCAGCCACCGCGGUUAUACGAGUGUGCUCAAGACGAUAUACAACGGCGUAAAGCGUGAUUAGAGACAUAACAAAACUAAAGUUAAACACCCCCUAAACUGUUAUACGUUAAUGGGACGAGGAGAACCCACAACGAAAGUAGCUUUAACAACUUCUUGAACUCACGACCGUUGAGAAACAAACUGGGAUUAGAUACCCCACUAUGCUCAACCGUAAACAAUGAUGUUUUAAUACAAAAACCUCCGCCAGGGGACUACGAGCAGAAGCUUAAAACCCAAAGGACUUGGCGGUGCCUCAAACCCACCUAGAGGAGCCUGUCCUAAAACCGAUAAUCCACGUUAAACCUCACCCUCCCUUGUCAAUCCAGCCUAUAUACCGCCGUCGCCAGCUUACCUUCUGAGAGAACAAUAGUAAGCCCAAUGAGUAUUACUCAAAACGUCAGGUCGAGGUGUAGCCAAUGGAAGGGGAAGAGAUGGGCUACAUUUUCUGACUCAGAAUAUACACGAAUGAUGCCAUGAAAAAGCAGUACUAAAGGUGGAUUUAGCAGUAAAUAAAAACAGAACAUUUUUUUGAAACAGGCUCUGAGGCGCGUACACACCGCCCGUCGCUCUCCUCGAAAACCAAUAAAAAUAUAUAUAAAUACACAAUAAAACAAAGAGGAGGUAAGUCGUAACAUGGUAAGUGUACCGGAAGGUGCACUUGGUUAAAA